rnacentral:rRNA from 1 species
AGGCCUAACACAUGCAAGUGGAGGGGUAUAUUAGUAAUACUAUAGACCGGCGCACGGGUGCGUAACGCGUAUGCAACCUACCUUGAACAGGGGAAUAGCCCAGAGAAAUUUGGAUUAAUGCCCCAUAGCAUAUAAGGAUCGCAUGGUCUUUAUAUUAAAGUCACAACGGUUCAAGAUGGGCAUGCGUCCCAUUAGUUAGUUGGUAAGGUAACGGCUUACCAAGACGAUGAUGGGUAGGGGUCCUGAGAGGGAGAUCCCCCACACUGGUACUGAGACACGGACCAGACUCCUACGGGAGGCAGCAGUGAGGAAUAUUGGUCAAUGGGCGCAAGCCUGAACCAGCCAUGCCGCGUGCAGGAUGAAGCAUCUAUGGUGUGUAAACUGCUUUUGUACGGGAAGAAACACCUCUACGUGUAGGGGCUUGACGGUACCGUAAGAAUAAGGAUCGGCUAACUCCGUGCCAGCAGCCGCGGUAAUACGGAGGAUCCAAGCGUUAUCCGGAAUCAUUGGGUUUAAAGGGUCCGUAGGCGGCCCUGUAAGUCAGUGGUGAAAUCUCCCGGCUCAACCGGGAAAUUGCCAUUGAUACUGCAGGGCUUGAAUUACUAGGAAGUAACUAGAAUAUGUAGUGUAGCGGUGAAAUGCUUAGAGAUUACAUGGAAUACCAAUUGCGAAGGCAGGUUACUACUAGUGGAUUGACGCUGAUGGACGAAAGCGUGGGUAGCGAACAGGAUUAGAUACCCUGGUAGUCCACGCCGUAAACGAUGGAUACUAGCUGUUGGGGGUAACUUCAGUGGCUAAGCGAAAGUGAUAAGUAUCCCACCUGGGGAGUACGGGCGCAAGCCUGAAACUCAAAGGAAUUGACGGGGGCCCGCACAAGCGGUGGAGCAUGUGGUUUAAUUCGAUGAUACGCGAGGAACCUUACCAAGGCUUAAAUGUAGAUUGACAGGCGUGGAAACAUGCUUUUCUUCGGACAAUUUACAAGGUGCUGCAUGGUUGUCGUCAGCUCGUGCCGUGAGGUGUCAGGUUAAGUCCUAUAACGAGCGCAACCCCUGUUGUUAGUUGCCAGCGAGUCAUGUCGGGAACUCUAACAAGACUGCCAGUGCAAACUGUGAGGAAGGUGGGGAUGACGUCAAAUCAUCACGGCCCUUACGCCUUGGGCUACACACGUGCUACAAUGGCCGGUACAGAGAGCAGCACUUCGUGAGGAGGAGCGAAUCUAUAAAACCGGUCACAGUUCGGAUCGGAGUCUGCAACUCGACUCCGUGAAGCUGGAAUCGCUAGUAAUCGGAUAUCAGCCAUGAUCCGGUGAAUACGUUCCCGGGCCUUGUACACACCGCCCGUC